rnacentral:rRNA from 1 species
GGGGGAUAAGCUUCAUUGUCAAGAGGGAAACAGCCCAGACUACCAGUUAAGGCCCCUAAAUAAUUACUAAGUGGUAAAGGAUGUAUUAGUACUUAGACAACCAGGAGGUUGGCUUAGAAGCAGCCAUUCCUUUAAAAAGUGCGUAAUAGCUUACUGGUCAAGUGCUUUUGCGCCGAAAAUGUAUGGGACUAAGUAAUUUGCCGAAACUGUAGGAUUUUAUUGAUCGGUAGAAGAGCGUUCUGUUUUAGGUUGAAGCAAUAUUGAAAAGUAUUGUGGACUAUUCAGAAGUGAGAAUGUCGGCUUAAGUAACGAAAACAUUGGUGGAAAUCCAAUGCCCCGUAAAUCUAAGGUUUCCUUCGCUAGGUUCGUCCACGAAGGGUUAGUCAGAUCCUAAGAUGAUGUUUAAAAACGUAGUCGAUGGUUAACAGUUUAAUAUUACUGUACUAUAUAUCAUUUUGUUAAAAAGGGACGGAGUAAACUAUGUCAUCCAAAUAUUGGAAGUUUUGGUUUAAUUAUUUGAGGUUAUGAGAAGUAUUAUAAAAAAUAUUUUGAGCUUAGAAUAAAAAGACGAUUAGCACUAAGGUGUUGAGAGUGAUUUAUGUUAUGCUUCCUAGAAAAGCUUUUGUAACGUGUAAUGGUAUAUAACUGUACCUUAAACCGACACAGGUAGAUUGGUAGAGAAUACUAAGGGGCUCGAGAUAACGCUUUUUAAGGAACUCGGCAAAAUAGCUCUGUAACUUCGGGAUAAAGAGUGCCUUAUUUAAUGUAAGGUUGCAGUGAUCAGAUCCAUGCGACUGUUUAACAAAAACACAAGUCUCCGUUAAGUUGAUAAAACGAUAUAUGGGGGCUGACGCCUGCCCAGUGCCGGAAGGUUAAAGAAAUCGGUUAGCUUCGGCGAAGCUGGUGACUGAAGCCUCGGUGAACGGCGGUAGUAACUAUAACUAUCCAAAGGUAGCGAAAUUCCUUGUCAGGUAAGUUCUGACCCGCACGAAAGGCGUAACGAUAUGGAUGCUGUCUCAAAAAGCGACUCGGUGAAAUAGAAUUGACUGUGAAGAUGCGGUCUACUUGCACUUGGACAGAAAGACCCUAUGAAGCUUUACUGUAGCUUGAUAUUGAUUUCGGAUUUUCUUUGCGCAGCAUAGGUGGGAGACUAUGAUCCUCUUUUUCGGAAGAUGGGGAGUCGUAAUAUGAGAUACCACUCUUAGAAAGUUAGAAAUCUAAUAGUAUUUUUUUCAAAAUACUUGACAGUUUCAGGUGGGCAGUUUUACUGGGGCGGUAGCCUCCUAAAAGGUAACGGAGGCGUACAAAGGUUUCUUCAGGCUGGACGGAAAUUAGUUGCAGAGUGUAAAGGCAAAAGGAAGCUUGACUGUGAGACCUAUAAGUCGAGCAGAGACGAAAGUCGGUCUUAGUGAUCCGACAGUGCUGAGUGGAAAGGCUGUCGCUAAACAGAUAAAAGUUACUCUAGGGAUAACAGGCUGAUCUCCCCCAAGAGUUCAUAUCGACGGGGAGGUUUGGCACCUCGAUGUCGGCUCAUCGCAACCUGGAGCGGUAGUACGUUCCAAGGGUUGGGCUGUUCGCCCAUUAAAGCGGUACGUGAGCUGGGUUCAGAACGUCGAGAGACAGUUCGGUCCAUAUCCGGUGUGAGUGUUAGAGUAUUGAAAAUAUCUUCCUUUAGUACGAGAGGACCAAGGAGGACACACCUAUGGUGUACCAGUUUUUGUGCCAACAGAAUACGCUGGGUAGCUACGUGUGGAGUGGAUAACUGCUGAAAGCAUAA